rnacentral:lncRNA from 1 species
UGCCAUGAUCAGAUAUGACACUUAGAUGAUGGGCAAGGGCAGGGGCACGAAGGAGGAUUAGUUUUAUUUUUCUUUCUAUUUUUAGAUUUGUUUUUGUUUUUUCUUUUGAUGAGUUUGAUUUACUUUUAUUUUUGGUUAUUUUUAUGUAUUUCCCAAAACUUUUAGUUUAAUAAUAUAGCAGUUAUAUAGUUAAUUCAUUUUUAUGUUAAUGUUAUUUAAGUGAUGAUGACUAGCAUGAGUGGUUGACUCUGAGCACCUAGAUAAAGUUUGUGUGCCCUAUUCAUGACCAUACCAAUCAAUCAUAAUAUCUAUAAAAUGAUGUGAUGUGGUUUUAUAUAAGUUUAGUGCAAGGGGUGCAUGGUCAUUUUGAAAGCUUGUAAUGUUGCAUCACACGAGGGGCACUGUG